GGGCACAUGGUGUAGUUGGUUAUCACGCUCGCUUAGCACAAAUUGAGGUGGUUUGCGAGAGGUGUUGGGUUCAAUUCCCAAUGCGUCCA
rnacentral:tRNA from 1 species